rnacentral:lncRNA from 1 species
GGCCUGGAAAUUUGGGAAUUCUGGCCCCAAAAAUUUGGGAAUUCAGCCCCAAAAAUUGGGAAUUCUGGUCCCAGAAAUUUGGGAAUUUCAAUUUAUUUAGAUUUUUCCUCAAAUUUCCCUGGAUUCUUCCCAAAUUCCCUCACAUUCUCCGGGUUUUUCCCGGAAUUCUCGGGAAUUUUCCGGGAAUUUUCCGGGAUUUUCCCCGCGUUCCCUGUCCCGGUUCCCGGCCGGAGCCGCUCCCGGUUUUACCGGGGCUCGUUCCGUUCCAUUCCCCCCCCACACCGGCCCGGUGCUCCCCAUCCACCGGGAUCCCCCCGGGGUUACCCCACGGAAGUUUCCCCUCGCCUUUCCCCGUUCUCCCGGUGCUACCGGGGCCGCCCCACGGGCGGCCCCGGUAGCACCGGGAGAGCGGGGAAAGGCGUGGAAAAGCCUCAAACUCCGCCUCAGGACCCUCUGGGCUCGCCCUCCCCCAGCUCCACGUACCGCGGGCGGCGGGCCCGGCCCGCUCGGGGCUCAGCGGCGGCCGCGGCCUCCUCCCGGUGUCCCCGCCCGGCCCCGCCACGCCGGAAGUGCCGCUCCGACCGGAAGUACCGCGCCAACCGGAAGUGCCUCUCCAGCCGCAACUCGAUGGUAAAGGCGGAGCGAGGGGGCGUGGCUUAACAUGGCAAAGUCCCGCCCUUUCCGUAUCGCUAUUGGUUGGAGGCGCCUCACGUGACCCGCCCUCCCCGCGCGUUGAUUGGUUGAGGUCGCGCACUUCCGGGAGCGCCCGCGGCGGCGGCGGCGGCGCCGUGCCCGGUGAGCGCGCGCGGCGGGAGGUGCGAGCGCCCCCUGGUGGCGGGAGGGGAGGGAGGGAGGUCCCGCUCCCGGUGCCGCUCCCGGUCCCGGUGGCCCCGGUGUAUCGUUCGUAGCUUGUUCCGUUUCCCGCGGUCCUGUCCCCGGUGUCCCGGCGGCCCCCGGUGGUCGCGGUGCCCAGCAGGGAGAUGCUCUCGGUGCCUUCGCGUUGCCG